rnacentral:antisense_RNA from 14 species
UUUGAUCGAGCCCACCCACAGCGGCUGAUCCGUCGGGCGUCCCUGCCCAUAGGUGGCCAACAACGCCUCGGCUU